UAAGAAUACAAAGCAAAAUUUAAUAGUUUUCUUUUCUUUUCUUCUUCGCUAGUCUUUUCUGAUAUUGAUCUAUCAAAAGAGGGACGAACUAAAUCUUUCAUUUUUACA
rnacentral:ribozyme from 11 species